rnacentral:misc_RNA from 1 species
AGCAAUGUUCUUCUAGAUGAAAACUUUGAGGCCAGAGUUUCUGAUUUUGGCAUGGCCAGAUUGGUGAAUGCUCUCGACACGCAUCUUAGCGUUAGCACACUUGCAGGAACUCCCGGUUAUGUGCCUCCUGAGUAUUAUCAGAGCUUUAGGUGCACAACAAAGGGAGAUGUUUACAGCUAUGGUGUCAUACUGCUAGAGCUACUCUCAGGUAAGAAGCCAAUAGACCCAUCGGAGUUUGGGGAUGACAACAACCUUGUAGGAUGGGCAAAACAACUUCACAUGGAAGAUAGAGACAAUGGGAUACUGGAUACUGAGUUAACAGUGCAAAAAUCUUGUGAGGGUGAAUUACAUCAGUAUCUGAGAAUUGCUUUUGCGUGCCUUGAAGAAAAGCCUUUCAAGAGACCGACAAUGAUUCAGGUGAUGGCCAUGUUCAAAGAGCUUCAGGUUGAUUCUGAAAAUGAUAUCCUAGAUGGUUUCUCAAUGAAAGAUGCGGUAAUCGACGAACUGGGAGAGAGAGUGUAGCUUAUGAUGUUCGAGACUAGAUGGCUGAGGCUCUGGCAAUGAUAAUUUGCACCUUUGAACGGGAUACUGGGGCUAUCCUUCAAAUUUCACCUACUGUAAAUAAUAGAAGACUAGACAGAGAAAGUAGCAAGAAAUGUGGGAAGAAACAAAGUAAUAGGACUUUCAGUUGCUCAACAAAUGGGUAACAAUUUUUCUUUCCAUUGAUCAUCAUGUUUGUCACUGAAGACUUAAAAUCUUUGUUUCUUUGCCAUUAGCUUCUUCUUUCUUUUGUCACAGUUUUGCCAACAGACGUUUCACGUUUUAUUUAAAAUUUUCCAUUUUUUGCUGUUCAUAGGAAGCCAGUGUUUUGUAAAGUUGUAGUUAUUAGCAUAUCAUUU